UGCUGGGGUUGGGUGAGUGAAGACUCAGCCCCACUGGCCCGGCCACCAGGCUGCCAUGUGUCAGUGUGGUCAUCAGGAGGCCUGGGGUGGACAUGAUUAGUGAUCGGGCUUUGUUACAGGCGCCUUGCCUCUGAGAGGUCCCAGCA